UACGAAGGGGGCGAGCGUUGUUCGGAAUUACUGGGCGUAAAGGGCGCGCAGGCGGCGGACCAAGUCAGGCGUGAAAGCCCCGGGCUCAACCUGGGAGGUGCGUCUGGGACUGGUUUGCUGGAGUUCGAGAGAGGAGCGUGGAAUUCCCAGUGUAGAGGUGAAAUUCGUAGAUAUUCGGAAGAACACCAGUGGCGAAGGCGACUUACUGGACACAUAUUGACGCUGAGGUGCGAAAGCGUGGGGAGCAAACAGG
rnacentral:rRNA from 1 species